rnacentral:lncRNA from 1 species
GAGCUGGGAAGCAGCUGCUGGAGCCCCGUGAGGAGGCGGCGGGAAGCCCGUCCCAUCAGCCUGGCCCUACUUAGGAGCCCCGGACCCCCGCUAGCUCGGGCAGACCAAAUCUGUGUCCCUUCUCUGGACCUCUGUGACAUUUCGGUCCCUCCAUCCCAGGUGACCAGGGACACGAGGACACGCAGGCCUGUGUGCCCGGGGCCGGAGGAGGACACAGGCCGCUCCUGGCCCCCGGCCCAGGACCUGCGAUCAUCUGGCCGGCACCGCUCCUGGCGGGGGCGACAUCCUGCGUGGGGACCGGUCUCCGGGGCUCGCGUCCUCCGCGGUUGGGGAGGCAGGGUCCGGUCUGCGGGCAAGCGUCGCGGCUGGAGGGCCUCAGCCUUCCUCGGUGCACUCCCUUGCCUUCGAAGGGAAACUGAGGCCCCGAGCGGGACAGCUCUGGACCAGGGUUGCGAGGGUCAGGGAAGCCGGCGCCUAGCCGAACUUGGCCUCGUGCCUCAAGCCAGCUCCUCACGCGUCCCUGAUGGGCUCAUCACCUCGACCCUGCAGACCAGCAGCGCGGCAGCAAGGAAGCCGCGUCCAGACAAACCUAACCAACCGGAGUCCGCCCCACGCAUGCGCCCCGGCUCGCGGCCGCGGGUCCGGCCCCGCCCGCGCCAGGGCCGCGCUCUCCGGAGUCGCGCGCUGGGACUCGCGCAUGCGCAUGCGCGCGGCGGCGCUUCCUGGGAACGCGGGCUCCGCGGAGCCGGGGUGGGCGGUGACUCAGCGCCCGGGGCGGAGCGGGGUCCCCUAGCUGUGGGGCCGGCGAGCUUCGCCCCCUCGGCCCUCAGCCGCGCCGGUGCCCGUGGCUGUCCCGGCCUCAGGCCGCUCUGUGCGUUGUCCGGCCGCUGGACGCCCGUAGGGUCUCGGAAGUCUAGAUUCGAGAGCGGGAAAGGCCUUGAAGUUGCUCAUUGUUGUUGCGGGUGCGGCCACAGGUUGCUGGAGGCAUUUGGGGCAUGUGAAGAAGGCGAAAACGAAUCGGUGCUGGCAGUGAGGAUGUGGUUUUCACCUGCGGAACUGAGAAUUUUAUGA